rnacentral:rRNA from 1 species
UACAGAGGGGGCAAGCGUUAUUCGGAAUUAUUGGGCGUAAAGGGCGCGUAGGCGGCUUUUCAAGUGACGGGUGAAAUCCCUCGGCUUAACCGAGGAACUGCCUGUCAGACCUGGAAGGCUUGAGACCGGGAGAGGUGAGUGGAAUUCCCAGUGUAGCGGUGAAAUGCGUAGAUAUUGGGAGGAACACCAGUGGCGAAGGCGGCUCACUGGACCGGAACUGACGCUGAGGCGCGAAAGCGUGGGGAGCGAACAGG